rnacentral:rRNA from 1 species
AUUGAACGCUGGCGGCAGGCCUAACACAUGCAAGUCGAACGAGUGGCGGACGGGUGAGUAAUGUCUGGGAAACUGUCCGAUGGAGGGGGAUAACUACUGGAAACAGUAGCUAAUACCGCAUACCAUCGGAUGUGCCCAGAUGGGAUUAGCUAGUAGGUGGGGUAACGGCUCACCUAGGCGACGAUCCCUAGCUGGUCUGAGAGGAUGACCGGCCACCCGGGAACGGAGACACGGUCCAGCCCCCAACGGGAGGCAGCGGUGGGAAAUAUUGCACAAGGGGCGCAAGCCUUAUGAGCCCAUGCCGCGUGUAUAAAGAGGGUCUUCGGGUUGUAAAGUCUUUUCAGCGAGGAGGCGUUACUCGAAGAAGAAGCACCGGCUAACUCCGUGCCAGCAGCCGCGGUAAUAC